CGGCGGUGAAACGAACUAUAAACCCUGUUUGUGGUGCUUGAGCCGGUCGAAGUUGUGCUCUUGGAGUGUCAGAUUUUUUAUUAUUUUUGAAUGAAGUUAACUAAAGAAAUAGAAGCAGUGGCAAGUUUUGUAUGAAAAAUAGUAUUUUUAAGGUUGGGAAUUAUUCAAGACUGCCCUGUUGCGAGUAUACCGCGCGUAUAUAAUAUUUAUCUACGUAUACAAGUACCCGGUGAACAGAGUUGAAUGAAACAAUAUACUCAUUCAGAAAUUGAAAAAAUACUUUUUGGAGUACCUAUUCGAAGCAUUUACAGCAUUAAGAAUACUAUU